CUAAAGUGAAGCAGUCUGCUGCAGAGAUAUUCAUUCUGGUUAGCCUGAGGAGCAACGUUGGACUGAUCAGCCAUUCCACGUGAGAAACUGUGUUUGGUCUGAAGAACCUCUUUUCUGCUCCAGAGAGAAGUACGCUUGUCUACAUCUCAAGACAAACAUCUGAAGAAGAACUGAACUAAGAACUUACCAGAGUGUCCUACAGCUUUGAAUGCCCAUCCAGUGGAUUCCACAACCAGAGAGAAGCUCAGCACCUCAAGAUAUACACCUGACGAAG